UUGACCUCGGAUCAGGUAGGGAUACCCGCUGAACUUAAGCAUAUA
rnacentral:rRNA from 2 species